UACGUAGGGGGCUAGCGUGGUCCGGAAUCAUUGGGCGUAAAGCGCGUGUAGGCGGCCCGGUAAGUCCGCUGUGAAAGUCCAGGGCUCAACCCUGGGAUGCCGGUGGAUACUGUCGGGCUCGAGUCCGGAAGAGGCGAGUGGAAUUCCUGGUGUAGCGGUGAAAUGCGCAGAUAUCAGGAGGAACACCAAUGGCGAAGGCAGCUCGCUGGGACGUGACUGACGCUGAGACACGAAAGCCAGGGGAGCGAACGGG
rnacentral:rRNA from 1 species